rnacentral:ncRNA from 1 species
UGUGCUUGCCGCGACUGGCGAAAUUGCUUCGUAAUCCGUGACACAUUGUUGCAUUCAGAAUGCAGGUGACAGGCAAGGGGCAACAGGUGGAGCUAACCACCGGGAAGCGGAAUGUCCGAUUCAAAGAUGGUGGUGUCGGGCACCAGUAACCGAUUAACCGUACGCCUGGGUUAGGGUU